UGACCAGAGCCAAUCACAUCGACUCAACAACAGCACAAAUUCGUGAGAAUUUAUGGACUUCUAACAGCUGCAAACAAUGACCAGUCAGACUAUGAAAACGUAUCAGACGCUCAAACAGGAACUCCAGAACACACAUAUGUAGCUCCACUCCCGAUCUCAGUGUAUGAAAAUGAACAGCCUAAAGAAAGAAUAACUGAUGCCGAGGAGACUCCGGGUGUCUACGCCAACAUCAUCACAUCGUUGCCAAUCACCGACGACGAGGACGACUACGAGAACUCGGAAUUUCUGGACAAAGUUGUGCAGAAGCGAGAAGACGAUGAGCCGGACUAUGUAAAUGAAAACGAAUGACUGCACCCGACGUGGACGCCAGCAGAAAACACCAGUCACACUCUGAACUUUGUUAAACUUGAAUUUUUUAUUAAUAUUAUUCCUGCCCUGUGUCAUAUGGUAAUGAUGUGGACGGCUUUGUGAAUAAAAUUUCGAUUGUGUGUGAAAACUGAGGCUGCCAUCUAGUGGUGAUGAAUACAGAACAGUGAAUACAUAAAAUAGUGUUUCUCAAAAGAUUAGUUGUGAAACUGAGUAUUGAGUACUCCUAAAAGUGACACUUACUAUUUAAGUGGCUUACUCCCACUCCCAAAACUAAAAUCUUUAAAUCUGCCACUGCC